rnacentral:rRNA from 1 species
ACUCAAAUGAAUUGACGGGGGCCCGCACAAGCGGUGGAGCAUGUGGUUUAAUUCGAUGCAACGCGAAGAACCUUACCUACCCUUGACAUCCUGCGAAGGGAGCCGAGAAGCUUCUGUGCCGAAAGGAACGCAGAGACAGGUGCUGCAUGGCUGUCGUCAGCUCGUGUUGUGAGAUGUUGGGUUAAGUCCCGUAACGAGCGCAACCCUUGUCCUUAGUUGCCAUCAAGUAAAGUUGGGGACUCUAAGGAGACUGCCGGUGAUGAACCGGAGGAAGGCGGGGACGACGUCAAGUCAUCAUGGCCUUUAUGGGUAGGGCUACACACGUGCUACAAUGGGUCGUACAGAGGGUAGCCAACCCGCGAGGGGGAGCCAAUCUCUAAAAGCGACUCGUAGUCCGGAUUGGAGUCUGCAACUCGACUCCAUGAAGUUGGAAUCGCUAGUAAUCGCGAAUCAGCAACGUCGCGGUGAAUACGUUCCCGGGCCUUGCACACACCGCCCGU